rnacentral:lncRNA from 10 species
UUGCAUCCUGGCCAUUCUGACUGAAGCAUCUGUGGCUCAAAUGGCCCCAAGUACAGCUCAGAUCACUGCUCUGGAGGCCCAGAUGGCUACAAGCCUGUACAGAAUGUUAUGACACUGUAUACUGGAGGCAACUCUAACACAAUGGAUCUAUUGCUUUCAAUUUAUAAGUUUGAUCAACUGCUGCCAAAAGGAGAGUUUUAUCUUCAGAUAAAAAUGAUUGAAUAUGAUGGUUAAAGAUUUCUUUUAUUAUAAAACUCGCUAUUUUUGAAACAGACCCUUUAUCAGGAAAAGCAGUGCUUGUGCAUUCUUCCAAAAGUAUUCUGAUAAGUUUCUCACAUACAACAUUGAGAAGAAAAACUGAUUUUGAGGAGAGCUGUAGGUUAUUGUACAUGAAUCACUCCUACUAAGAGAUCCUGAAAGAGGUCAUCAAAGCCACCAGAAACUAUUCCUGGACAGAGGAGGUUUUAUAGGUGUGGUUGGUCUCCUUACUGACGUGUCAACUACAAAUGCACAGGGUUCUGCCUGAAAUGUUUUAGUUGUUGCAGAUGUGUAGCUUCUAUAUGUAAAGUCUUCACUGCACGUGCUACAGAAACUUGAACUAUCUGAAGAGAGGAUGGAGUCAUCAGAUACUGGAUCCAGUCAAAAUAUUUGGAUGCUUUCAGAAACAUCUGCCUAGCUGAGAUGUGGGGAAGGAACAUAAAGCAUUUUCUCUCCCAGUCCCUGCUGAAAGGGAACAAGAAGACUAAGCAAUAAGUGAGAAAAGAAAUGAUGGAAUAGAUGUGAGGCUUCCACAGCAAACUCCUGUAAAACCUGCAGUUAAACCUGAGCAAGAGGAAUGUGACAUAUGUGUCUUUGCUCUUUAUUUGGAUCUGUGUGUAUGCUCUUGGAGCAGUGGCGAAGAAGCUCCAGGGUAAUCUAAAAACCAAAAUAAAUGCCUUGAGAUCUUUUCUGGGAAUGAAAAAAUACAAAGACAAGCUAAGAAGCUGGAGCAGGAAAUUGACUUCAAACUCUGCUUGGAGAAUCACCAGCUGCAAAACUGUAUGGGGCAAAUUUCUCAUAAGAGUAUAGAGGAUGUGACACUGUACAGAGUUCACACUCAUGACUCAAUGAUGAAAUGGAAACCAGGAAGACCUGAUUAUGCAUGUCUGUGAAACUCACCCAUGCCAUCUGGAAAGGAAAAAGUUAAGUUGCAUUUCUGCAAUACAUUCUCUCCCUUCCCUGAGCUGCUCCUGGAAUAUAAAGAAAGCAAGGAAAUAUUUACUGGGCCUUCAGCUUUCUGUACUACUUCGGAACAGCACUAGCAUCUAUCUCAGGGUUUAAAAUAUGGAAGUUCUUGCCUUCCUUGAAUCUUUUCUCCCAGAAAUAACAUAUUGGCUCUCUUCCCUGUGACAUGCCUCAUCUGACAUUGGCUGGCUUUCAUAUAAAACCUUUGUUUUAGCCUACUAUCAAUUCAACUUUUACAUUGACAAAACGUAAUUUUUGGUUGUCAAUGUAAAAGUUGACAUUUUUACAUUCAACUUUAAUUUAAAUGCUGAAUUUAAAUUUAAAUGCUGAAAAUUUAUUUAAACACUUAAAAUGAUAUUAGAAGAGGUAUUUUAUGUUUUUAAACAGAGAUAUAUUUCAUUUUUAUAUGCAGUCAACAGAUCACAUGUGUAUGUCUCUUAUGUGUUCCUGUGUGGGAAUAGCUUGAAUUACUACAUAAGUUCUCUGAGAAUAUUAAGUUCAUUUAGGGGAACAGGACAUAUCUAUAUGAAAAACAGAAAUAAUACUACAAACAAAAGAGAGAUCACGAGAUAACAUGUAAUUAAUUCUCAGUGAAUGACAUGUCAUGAAAUCAUCAGAAGAGAUGAGGAUAUGGGAAAAGCUUUAUGAAAGUAGUCAGAACCAUAAGGAAGAUUCGGUUUUGUUAAACAGAAAGACCUUUUUCCAUUGUGGUAUUAAGUUUAAUAUGAUUUUCAUUGUAUUAAAAUACUAAUGCAGUAAGUUGAAAAUAUAAUUGCAUUCUUUUCAUUUAAUCUAUUGUAAAAUAUAUAAUCAAAAUGAUAUACUUGUAAAAUAAUUACAUAUAUAAUAAAAUCAAUAUACCUGUAAAAGAAUCA